AAAUCUCUCCCAGCAAAAAAAAAAAAAAAGACAGCCGAUUUUAUCACUUUUAAAUAAAACUGAAGUUGAGAUUUUGUGAAAUCACAUUCCAUUUAAUUCUUGGUAGAUGCUUACUUUAAACAUAUUUUGAAUACUUAGUAAAUAUCCCCAUAUGAGAUAAUUAAGAAAUAUCAACACUGAACACAAUGGAAAUGGAAACUAAGGCAGAAUUAAUUAUGGUUUACAAAAUAUUAGCGUUUUGGAAUUCUGUACAUUAAAUGCUUUUCCUUGCCCAGGGUAAAAGGACCAUGUAUUUAUUCCUAAUUCCCCACGACGAUGACUUGUCGUAGUAACAAUAACACAAGCUAUCUUGCAAACUAAACAGCUACUUGCUAAGCACAUCCUUCUUUCCUUCAAAACGAUUUUUUUCUCAUUCCAGGAAUACAGUGUAACUGAAUGUAGCCUGCAGAUGACAGCAAUGGGGUGUACGACUCUUUCUCUUCUAAAUUCCAAUACCUGUGAACUGAUUAAGAAUUAUACAAAAACGAAGUCAUGGAAGUUUACUAAGUAAGCUUUUUCUAAAUUUUGUUAGUUCUUUCUCUCUUUUUCAUACUGUUUCCCCCUUGAUGUAGUAUAAAUACAAUUUAUUAAACGCGUGACUCCCAGCUGUGAGGUGCUGUAGAAAACACAAAAAUUAAUGUGGAGGCGAAACUAUUGUUGUUUCCUACUUGAGGUAAAAGGCAGGACCCCUUAGCUGGCAGCUCUGCCCUUCUGUGAAUCCACAAUAUCAACAGGUAGAUUCCCGAGGCUGUGUCCCUGACAGCCUGGCUUUAGGACAGAAGGGAUUUAGAAGACUGGAGACAGCCAUAAUCUACGACACGGAUGGAAAAUGGCUUGUGACAACUAUUAGGGACGUGCAGCUGUUCAGAGUGCAUUCAGAAAUCAAAUUAUUAUUUUUCUCCUUAGAACUGUUUUAGAAAUAAUUCACUUUUAUACAUUUCUGAAUUCUCUAAUAACAUAAAAACUAACAUCAUCCUGUUAAAGGGUGAUGGUUACACACUUACUUCUGGUAAGAUAAGGGCGAUCUCAUCAAAUCAGAAUCGUCAUUGACCACCCUACUCCUCCAGCGGUCACUUAGUAUUCCCUUUUGGCAGUACAACAUCUAUGGGAAUAAUAUGAAUAAUUUAGCCUCAAAACCAAUCCAUGAGGCUUUUCCUGUUAUACAAGUUUUCCAUCAAAUACAGACCAGAGGCUGCCUUCAUAUGCUGAGACCACUGUGCAAUCAAUCAGCAGUAAAAAUGACACAAAUACCUAGCACCUGAAAUGUUAGGAUAAUGUGUAACCAACAACUUUCUUGGGAAUUCAAGAAGAGUACUUUGUAGCUGGGCAAUAGACAUACAAAAAUCAUAGAAGGAGGAGAGUGGAAACCACGCUGUAGGAAGGGAGGUUUCAAGGAGCACCAGGCGAGGAUGGCAGCUAAGUGCAUAUUUCCUGACCUUUCCGGAACUACCCCUGCUCUACUCUGUUCCUCAUCUCAAAACAGAGAAGGUGAGGUUUGUCAAUUUCACUGAGGAACAAACGAUGAAAAUGAUUUGGCCUUGGCCUUGGACUAAGGAAUCCCGAGGGGCCCAUCAAUUCUGCACAUUAGGAAGAAGAGGAACAAUGUCACUGCUGAUGAGAAGCAAUACUCCAAACCAUUCAGCAGUGAAAUUAUCUCCGGUGUCCUAAGGCAAGAGAUUUUUUACAUUCUAUGUCUUCCUGUAGAUCUGAAACAGAAAGUUCCAUCUCUCCAGCAUCCAGAGGCUGCAGGUUGACCAUAAUCAGAAGCAUAAUCAGAAGCAAGGCCCCCAUUUCCGCCUGGGGUAGGCAAAUGCCUCUGGUUCUCCUCAGUGUCCUGCUAACUACAGGCAGAGGGAUGGACCUCAAUGACCAGGAUAAAGCACCCACACGCCUGGGCAUGGCAAAUUUAAAAACUUCACUGUGACAACCUGAGCACUUGUAAAAAGUUCUGGGACCUAAGUUUAGAAGGCUAGAGGGGAGCAGAACACAUAAAAAUUUAACACCUUCCAUAACCUUGUUCUAUAGCAUUUAUGUUGCCUUCAACACCUUUCCAGAUCAGAAAGAAACAUGAAACUGAAUUAAAAUUCAAGAAAAUAUGGAACAUUAUCUAUUCAAUAUGGAUUUUCAUUUUAAUGGUUACUAUGUCUAUAAAUACAUACUCUGCCUUAUUGGAAUAUAAAUCCUUAAAGGACUAUGAUUUUUUCCCCAAAUCUCUACAAACCCCUAUACCACAUACAAGAAAAGUAUCACACCAACGAUAAGUCAUUUUUGAGGGAAACUACGGAUUGGUAUUAGGGUGGGGCUGGAAAUAUUCUUGACUGGAGUGUUGGUUACACGGGUAGAUACUGUCAAAACUCAUCAAAUGGCACACUUAAGACCAGUACAUUUCACUGUAGGUGAGUUUUACCAAAUUAAAAAAAAAGUAUCAGGAAACAAGAGAAGGGAUGAGAUGAGGUGGCUACAGCAGCCAGCUGUGAAGACAGAGGUGGCACCUGCACCCCACCAUCACUGCACACAGCCUGUGGGGGCUCACCAGAGCCCUGCAGGUGAGUGUCAGCCAUGGACCUGGCCAGGAUCACAGUGAGGCUGGCUUUGGUCAGCCACUGCUUUCCAUCUUCAAUUAGGACAACACUUCCUUACUAGUAAUUCUGGUUAUGAAAAGUCUCCCAUUUUCUGUGGUUAAGUUGGAAAAGAUCUAUGACUGUGAUACAGAAGAUGGGUGCACAAUGCAGAAGCCAUUUACAAGCAGUUUGGUGGCCAACUGCUAACCUCAAAACACCUAAAAAACACAGCCUGCCACCUAAGGAGGGGAAUGAGAUCCACAACCACAGCCACAUUAAUACUUACGCUAACCAGGCAGCAGUCAGGAUCUCCACCGGAAGAGUCUACACACACACACACACACACACACACACACACACACACACACCCCACUUAAUUUUCAAGGUACAAAGGUACCGCCCUCCAUCAGCGAUACUCAAACUCCACAGGCCAUUAAUAAACAAAAGCACUUUUUAUUUGGCUUUUCUGGGGAAUAUCUAUUGGAGAGGCACCAUCUGCAAGACCUUAACUGUGAGAACUUCUAAUGACAUCCCAGCUCUUGACAGUCCUCCAGCAGCAGCAAUGGCUUUUGUCUUUUUUCUUUUUAGCCUGUUUGGUUGUUUACUGAAAAGAAAAGUGCAGAGAAGACAGAGGAGCAGAUUACAAGGCCCCCUGGAGGAAAGAGAGGAUGGAACAAAAUUGGGGAGAGAGCAGACAAAUGGUGAAAAGCAAAGAAUUCUGUCUCCCACUCUACAAGGCCUCUGGCCAUCCCGCCGAGCGAUUCUGCGGUUGACAGGCAUCUUGAAGAGGCGGUCAGAUUAGCACGGGGCCACUGUCUAUCCAAAGACUCAAGAUGGCCUACGACACACUUCAUGUUUGCAAAUUCAUCCUGGGCUCAAACAUACGGUUUUGAUCUAAGACAUGAGAGGUGAGAAAGACCACAAAAGUGAGUUCUUCCCCUGAAAACCCUGUGAAUUUUCCCCAGGAACAAGGAAAACGGCUUCAGUUGCCCAGACAGCUGUUCCGAGUACUCAGGCUUCAGUUGUCAAGGUCAGUAUCGUAUAUCCAUGCCAGCUGCAAGAGGAAACCAUGACUCUGCUCUCCAGGAUGUCCACUCGAAUCUUUACUUCCCUUUUCUUGUGCUUCUCGAGCAUGAAGUAGGAAAGUCCAGGUUCAGCCUGAACUUCAUGUCCGGCCUCGGGCUUCUGUCAGUCAGGAGAAUGGCAUGUGCCAGCCUGCAGAUGCUCUGAUGGCCCAGCCAGAGACACUGCUGUCAACACAGCGGCUUCUCUCCUGUGACCUCAGUGACUAAGCACAGGCUUUGAUGAACAAGUACCAAACCCACCUCCACAUCUGAGAGGGGGACAGGAAUAGAUACUAUCCACUCCUGAGGACCAGAAGCUCUCCGCUCCUUGGCCUUUUAGCAUGGAUAAAAUAUUACUUUCUGCAUCCAUUAACAGAGACUGCUCACUUCUUCAACAUGAGACCAUGGAAAGAAGACCCGAGGACUCCACAACCUGGACAGAUAACUUUAGGAAGAGCGUAUGGUUUCUACCAGCCACUUAUCUUCUCAAAUAACAGAACUCUGGAGCUAGAGUGCCUGGGUUUGACUCCUGGCUCUAUCUUAUAGCUGUGUGACCUUGGGCAAGUUACUUACUUUCGCUGUGCCUAUAGUUUCCUCACCUGGUGAACGAGGACAACAAAAGUACCCACUUCACGGGGUUAUGGUUGAGACAGAGUGAACACUUAAAGCUCUUAGAACAAAGUAUAGGCAGUACCAUUACUGUCACUAACAGAAAUAGGGCAGAGCUUUCACACUAGCCCACCAGCCAUUCUGUGGUUACAAAAAAAUAGCUGCUCUUCUGGUAUGAUGUGGAUUCCCCAGGAAGGAGGCGAAUGCACAGUGCUAACACAACGUGAACUAGACAGCAGGUGCUAUCAUGGCUGCCAAUGGAAAAUUAGACUCUGCCCUUCCUAAUAGUCCUUUAGUAAUUUAUAUGCCUCUCACUGCUGGAGCAGUUGCCUAGGAGACAUGCACUCCCAGGAGACUCGGUUGCAGUGGGUGAUACAGAGCGCCACUGAUUAAUGAAAUUAAUGAAAUCAGUGUCCAUCCUCCCAGGAUUCUUCAGAUCCCUGACACUGGGGCAGAGAACACUGCUUCUCUGUUAUGACACUGAGGACUCUGCUACUCUGCUAUGAACCUGGGCUUGAACUGAGGGAGAUCUUUCUUUAUUGCAGCCACAAAUUCGACAUAUUGAAAAAAUACAUUGUUUUCACUUCAGCAGCCUUUAUCUUGCUAUUAAUUUUAUCUUUUUUGUUUUGUUUUCUAGUUCUUAAAAUAACUGCUGCUGAUGGCCUUGAACAUGCUUUACUAGGCAUGUAUUCAGGGUGCCGAGCUAGCACAGGAGAAUGAAAAGCCACUUAGAGCGGAAACGGCUGAUAUGAAGUUAUCAAAGUAUAUACAGAAAACAUAGAGCGGGCAGAAGUCUGCCUUCCAGUGCGGUUUUCUCCAUGGACCUUCGAGGAUGAAGGUGAUUUUUAAAGCCGGAGCCCCAUCUUCCCAGACAUGUACAUCUGAAACAAUGUCAGAAACCCAGGGAAGGACCUUAAGGGUAUUAUUUGUUCUUUUAAAAAGAAUAAGGCGUCCUUCCUCUUCCUGAACAUUCAGUGCAGACGCCUUGAGGUGAGGCCAAGGAAGGCAGGUGUGUCCACGCUGACAGAGAGCGGGGAGGUGCAGUGGCUUGGAGCACGGUGCUGGAGUCCAAGUGCGGUGAAGAAGGUGGUCACCCAGGAGGGAGGCCUGGCAGGGGGUGCUGGAGCCCAACAGGGAUGAGGACAGUGUGCCGAGGGAGGGGCAGCCCAACACAGGGUGCUGAAGCUCAGCGGCGUCAGGGGAGUGUCCAGGUGGAAGACUGCCGAGAGCAGGCCAAGAGGGAGGGGAUCCCACAAAGGGGCAGGGUGAGGGGGUGAGGGGGGUGAGGAGGGGGAUGUGGGCAGGGAGGCAACCCGGUGAGGCACUGGAGCGAAGAGGGGUAAGGACGGCACUGUGGGAGUCUCAGAAUCCAGGCGGGGUGAGGACUUUCGUUGGGUGGGUCCAGGUGAAGGGUGGGACCUGGCAUGGGUGUUGGAGCACGGGUGGGGUAAGGAGGGUGUCCUCAUGGGAAAGGAGGGGGUGGAGAGGGAGUGACUGGAUAAGUAAAUACAAGAUAAUGGAAGCUAGUUUCCUCUCAGUCAGAGUAAAGAGUUGCAAAUCUGAAAACGGAGACAACUAGAAAUAAUUCUUUAGUGUUGCACUGGAGUUGGAAGUCUAAGGUAACAUAAGCAGGUGUGCAAACAUACGUAUAUAUCUAUAUGUUUCCUGGUUCUGUCUGCUGCGAGGCCUGGAACAGUGACACUCCAAGAGCAGUGAGCACAGACAGCUAACUCUCAUAUCUCAGUUUCUAAACACUGUUCCCCAUCGAAAGGAAUCAGGGCUCCUUGGAGAAACGGCUGAUUCCAGAGCUGGCGCAGAGAAAAUACAAGAUAAUUCUGGAAUACCUUGCACUAGAAAGUAAAGAGAUAUUCAAAGAAUGAUGGGCACAUGUCAAAGGACAAGCUAUCUUGAAGGGACAACCACAGGCCAAAACCAGGACAAAUCAAAGCAUCAAGAUAAUGAUCAGAUGACAACCAACAACAAAAAGAAGAAACCAUGACUCCUAGUGAUAGGAAUAAAUCAGUGAGUUAAAAAUUUGAUGGGGAAACAGGAUAUUUACAGUUUCAAAGUACCUUCCACAAAAUACUUAUAAUUACGAGGAGAAGACUAACUUGACAGUGGAGAAACCUGCUGACGCCACCGUAGUGAAGAACUCAAAGUGAAUUUCAUCAGUAAUAGGACAAAUAAAAAUCGCACCACUUGACAGGAGGCAGUGAGAAGAGAAUGGUGUCACUUCUGUGACAUUCCUGCCAAAGAUGCAUGGAGUCUCAUCCUGAGGAAACAUCAGACAAACCUAAACCGAGAGACAUGCAACAAAGUAACCAGCCUGGAAUCAGCAGGAGCGAGCAUCGUGAAAAGCCAGCAAAGACUAGGAUUCCUGCAGACUCAGAGAAACUACAGACACCUGACACUAAAUGCAACACGCGAUGAGGGAUUUUUUGCUAUAAAGGACAUUAGAGCA